AUCCAGUAGCAAUACUGGUGAAGAUCUAGCGGCGAACGGGUGAGUAACACGUGAGAAACCUGCCCCGGACUCUGGGAUAACACGAGGAAACUCGUGCUAAUACCGGAUAUCUUCUUUUGACCGCAUGGUCAGCUGAAGAAGAUUAUCGGUUGGGAGGUCUCGCGGCCUAUCAGCUAGUGGCGGGUAACGGCCCACCAAGGCAUCGACGGGUAGCUGGUCUGAGAGGACGACCAGCCACACUGGGACUGAGACACGGCCCAGACUCC
rnacentral:rRNA from 1 species